GACAGAGGGUGCAAACGUUGCUCGGAAUUACUGGGCGUAAAGCGCGUGUAGGCGGUGCCGCACGUCGGGUGUGAAAGCCCGGGGCUCAACCCCGGACGUGCACUCGAUACGACGGUGCUGGAGUCUUGAAGAGGAGAGCGGAAUUCCCGGUGUAGAGGUGAAAUUCGUAGAUAUCGGGAGGAACACCAGUGGCGAAGGCGGCUCUCUGGCCAAGUACUGACGCUGAGACGCGAAAGCGUGGGUAGCAAACAGG
rnacentral:rRNA from 1 species